CCUACGGGAGGCAGCAGUGAGGAAUAUUGGUCAAUGGGCGUAAGCCUGAACCAGCCAAGCCGCGUGAGGGAUGAAGGUUCUAUGGAUCGUAAACCUCUUUUAUAAGGGAAUAAAGUGUGGGACGCGUCCUAUUUUGUAUGUACCUUAUGAAUAAGGAUCGGCUAACUCCGUGCCAGCAGCCGCGGUAAUACGGAGGAUCCGAGCGUUAUCCGGAUUUAUUGGGUUUAAAGGGUGCGUAGGCGGCCUUUUAAGUCAGCGGUGAAAGUCUGUGGCUCAACCAUAGAAUUGCCGUUGAAACUGGCGGGCUUGAGUACGUUUGAGGCAGGCGGAAUGCGUGGUGUAGCGGUGAAAUGCUUAGAUAUCACGAAGAACCCCGAUUGCGAAGGCAGCCUACUAAGCCAUGACUGACGCUGAUGCACGAAAGCGUGGGGAUCAAACAGGAUUAGAUACCCCGGUAGUC
rnacentral:rRNA from 1 species